UCAUCUCCCCAUCCAACCAUGAGCCCUUGAGCCGCGGUUGGAGCGCGGGUAGAAAUUGGCCUCCCGUGUGCUCACAGCCAGCAGUUGGCCAAAAUUCGAGUCCUCGACGACAUCAUCGUCACGACGAUCGGUGGGUAAUGCUAUAAACAACCUCGUUCGGAGCCGUGCGUGUUCAUUGAUCGAGACCCUUGAACCCUUUCGACAUCGCAAGGACGGUACUCGCACCGCGACCCCAGGUCAGGCAAGAUUACCCGCUGAGCUUAAGCAGAUCAAUAAGCGGAGGAAAAUAAACUUACCAGGAUUCCCCUCGUAACGGUGAGCGAACCGGGGAAAGCCCAGCUUGAGAAUCGGUCCCAUUGACAUCCGAGUCUGGAGAAGCGUCAUCAGCGACGGACCGGGCCCAACUCCCCUGGAAAGGGGCACCGGAGAGGGUGAGAGCCUCGUCGUAGUCGAACCCUGUCGCACCACGAGGCACUGACAGACACAAGUCGUGGCGGCGGCCUGAGCCCAGGCCUUUGAUAUGCCUAUGGAGACGUCGUUGCCUCGAUCGUGGGAUUCAGCAUACGCCGUCCCGGCGUGCUUUGACACCUGCGUGCUCCGGGCGUCAGCCUGCGGGAUCCCCAUUCAGCCCGUCUUGAAACACGGACGAAGGAGUCUGACAUGUGUGCGAGUCAACGGGCUUGAAAACCCGUAAGGCGUAAGGAAGCUGAUUGGCGGGAUCCCUCGCGGGUGCACCGCCGACCAACCUUGAUCUUCUAAGAAGGGUUCGAGUGAAAGCAUGCCUGUCGGGACCCGAAAGAUGGUGAACUAUGCCUGAGCGGGGCGAAGCCAGAGGAAACUCUGGUGGAGGCCCGUAGCGAUACUGACGCGCAAAUCAUUCGUCUGACUUGGCUAUAGGGGCGAAAGACUAAUCGAACUGUCCAGUAGCUGGUUCCCUCCGAAGUUUCCCUCAGGGUAGCUGGAGCCCUUAGCGAGUUCUAUCGGGUAAAGCCAACAAUUAGAGGCAUUGGGGGUGCAAUGCCCUCGACCUAUUCUCAAACUUUAAAUAGGUAGGACGGCGCGGCUGCUUCGUUGAGCCGCGCCACGGAAUCGAGAGCUCCAAGUGGGCCAUUUUUGGUAAGCAGAACUAGCGAUGCGGGAUGAACCAGAAGCCAGGUUACGGUGCCCAACUACGUGCUAACCUAGAACCCACAAAGGGUGUUGGCGAUUAAGACAACAGGAGUGUGUCGAAUGAGAACUUUGAGGGCCGAAGAGGGGAAAGGUUCUAUGUGAAUAGCACUUGCACAUGGGUUACUCGAUCGUAAGAGACGGGGGAAGCCCGUUCGAUAGGGCGACCAGCGCGAGCUUUGAAAGGGAAUCAUGUUAAAAUUCCUGAACUGGGACGUGGCGGCUGACGGCAACAUUAGGGAGUCCGAAGACGUCGGCAAGGGCCUUGGGAAGAGUUAUCUUUUCUAUUUAAUGGCCUACCCACCCUGGAAACAUCUCAGCCGGAGGUAGGGUCCAGCGGCCGGAAGAGCACCGCACAUCGCGUGGUGUUCAGUGCGCCCUCGGCAGCACUUGAAAUUCUGGAGGACCGAGUGCCGUCCGUGCUCGGUCGUGCUCAUAACUGCAUCAGGUCUCCAAGGUGAACAGCCUCUGGUCAAUGGAACAAUGUAGGCAAGGGAAGUCAGCAAAAUGGAUCCGUAACCUCAGGAAAAAGGAUUGGCUCUGAAGGCUAGGCACGGGUAUCCCAGUCCCGAACCCAUCAGCUAUCGGUGUAGCUCGAGCUGCUCUCGCGGAGAGAACGGGUCACCGCGUGCCAGCCGAGGGACAGACUGGGAACGGGUCCCUCGGGAGCCUUCCCCGGGCGACGAACAGUCGACUCAGAACUGGUACGGACAAGGGGAAUCUGACUGAUUAAUUAAAACAAAUCAUUGCGAUGGUCCCUACGGAUGCUCACGCAAUGUGAUUUCUGCCCAGUGCUCUGAAUGUCAAAGUGAAGAAAUUCAACCAAGCGAGGGUAAACUGUGGAAGUAACUAUGACUCUCUUAAGGUAGCCAAAUGCCUCGUCAUCUAAUUAGUGACUGGCAUGAAUGGAUUAACGAGAUUCCCACUGUCCCUGUCUUCUAUCCAGCGAAACCACAGCCAAGAGAACGGGCUUGGCAGAAUCAGCGGGGAAAGAAGACCCUGUUGAGCUUGACUCUAGUCUGACUUUGUGAAAUGACUUCAGAGGUGUAGGAUAAGUGGGAGCUCUCAAGCGAAAUUGAAAUACCACUACUUUUAACGUUAUUUUACUUAUUCUGUGAAUCAGAGAUGAGGCACGGCCCCUCUUUUUGGACCCAAGGCCGGCUUCGGCCGGCCGAUCUGGGCUAAAGACAUUGUCAGGUGGGGAGUUUGGCUGGGGCGGCACAUCCGUUAAAAGAUAACACAGGUGUCCUAAGAUGAGCUCAACGAGAACAGAUAUCUCGUGUGGAACAAAAGGGUAAAAGCUCGUUUGAUUCUGAUUACCAGUACGAAUACGAACCGUGAAAGCUUGUCCUAUCGAUCCUUUAGACCUUCGGAAUUUGAAGCUGCAGGAGUCAGAAAAGUUACCACAGGGAUAACUAGCUUGUGGCAGCCAAGCGUUCAUAGCGACGUUACUUUUUGAUCCUUCGAUGUCAGCUCUUGCUAUCAUUGUGAAGCAGAAUUCACCAAUUGUUGGAUUGUUCACCCACCAAUAGGGAACGUGAGCUGGGUUUAGACCAUCAUGAGAUAGGUUAGUGUUACCCUACUGAUGGUCGCGCCGCAAUAGUAAUUCAACCUAGUACGAGAGGAAACGUUGAUUCGCACAAUUGGUCAUCGCGCUUGGUUGAAAAGCCAGUGGUGCGAAGCUACCGUGCGCUGGAUUAUGACUGAACGCAUCUAAGUCAGAAUCUAGGCUAGAAGCAACGCACGCGCCCGUCGCCCGAUUGCCGACCCGCAGUAGGGCCUCUGGCCCCCAAGGGCACGUGUCGUAGGUGCAGCAACCGCGGUGGACAAGUCGCGGGCACUUUCCUAGAGCGUAAUUCCCACCGAGCAGCGGGUAGAAU
rnacentral:rRNA from 1 species